UACAGGGGGUGCAAACGUUGCUCGGAAUCAUUGGGCGUAAAGCGCACGUAGGCGGUUCGUUAUGUCGGAUGUGAAAGCCCUUGGCUUAACCGAGGAAGUGCAUCCGAAACUGGCGAGCUAGAGUACUAAAGAGGAUCGCGGAAUUCCCGGUGUAGAGGUGAAAUUCGUAGAUAUCGGGAGGAACACCGGUGGCGAAGGCGGGUCUCUGGGCAG
rnacentral:rRNA from 1 species